rnacentral:rRNA from 1 species
UACGGGGGGAGCAAGCGUUGUUCGGAUUUACUGGGCGUAAAGGGCUUGUAGGCGGUUUGUUAAGUCUGGUGUGAAAUCUCCCGGCUCAACCGGGAGGGGUCAUUGGAUACUGGCAGACUAGAGACGGGUAGAGGAAAGCAGAAUUCCCGGUGUAGCGGUGAAAUGCGUAGAUAUCGGGAGGAAUACCAGUGGCGAAGGCGGCUUUCUGGGCCUGUUCUGACGCUGAGGAGCGAAAGCGUGGGGAGCAAACCGG